rnacentral:tRNA from 1 species
GCAUCGGUGGUUCAGUGGUAGAAUCCUCGCCUGCCACGCGGGCGGCCCGGGUUCGAUUCUCGGCCGAUGCA